GACGAACGCUGGCGGCGUGCUUAACACAUGCAAGUCGUACGGUAAGGCCCUUUCGGGGGUACCCGAGUGGCGCACGGGUGAGUAACACGUGAGUAACCUGCCCACAACUUUGGGAUAACGCUAGGAAACUGGUGCUAAUACUGGAUAUGUGCUCCUGCUGCAUGGUGGGGGUUGGAAAGCUCCGGCGGUUGUGGAUGGACUCGCGGCCUAUCAGCUUGUUGGUGGGGUAGUGGCCUACCAAGGCGGCGACGGGUAGCCGGCCUGAGAGGGUGACCGGCCACAGUGGGACUGAGAUACGGCCCAGACCCCUACGGGAGGCAGCAGGGGGGAAUAUUGAAAAAUGGGCGCAAGCCUGAUGCAGCAACGCCGCGUGCGGGAUGACGGCCUUCGGGUUGUAAACCGCUUUCAGCAGGGACGAAGCUUUUUGUGACGGUACCUGCAGAAGAAGCACCGGCUAACUACGUG
rnacentral:rRNA from 1 species